UCUGGAAGUGAUGGCACUCUUGGCCCUCAGUCAGAAACUAUUCAGUAUCGAGAACAUUUUAUGUAGUCUAAUGAUCUGAGCCAGA